AGGAAGUUAGUCUAAGCAAGACAUUUGAUUUCGGCUCAAAAAACUGUGGUUCAAAUCCACAACUGCCUU
rnacentral:tRNA from 1 species